AUAAUUUAUAUAAAAUAUUAUGAUGAAUAUUUAUAUAAUAUUAACAUAAUUCAUAUUACUAUAUAUUUUAGUAUAUGAAAUUUUACUUUGAGAAAAUUAGAGUGCUUAAAGCAGGCAUAUGCCUUGAAUACUCCAGCAUGGAAUAAUAUUAAAGAUUUUUAUCUUUCUUAUUGGUUCUAAGAUAAGAAUAAUGAUUAAUAGGGACAGUUGGGGGCAUUUGUAUUUAACAGUCAGAGGUGAAAUUCUUAGAUUUGUUAAAGACAAACUAAUGCGAAAGCAUUUGCCAAGGAUGUUUUCAUUAAUCAAGAACGAAAGUUAGGGGAUCGAAGACGAUCAGAUACCGUCGUAGUCUUAACCAUAAACUAUGCCAACUAGAGAUUGGAGGUUGUU
rnacentral:rRNA from 1 species